rnacentral:tRNA from 1 species
GACAUUUUAACUAUAUAAAGUAUGUAUUUUGAAAAUACAAAAAAGAAUAACUUCUAAAUGUCU